GCCUGGAUGGUCUAGUGGUAUGAUUCGCCCUUAGGGACACCUAAAUUGGAGCCUCAAUUUGAGCAGGGCAUCAAAUGGGCGAGGUCCCCAGUUCAAUCCUGGGUUCAGGCC